GGGCGCAAGYYUGAUGCAGCGACGCCGCGUGAGGGAUGGAGGCCUUCGGGUUGUAAACCUCUUUUAUCGGGGAGCAAGCGAGAGUGAGUUUACCCGUUGAAUAAGCACCGGCUAACUACGUGCCAGCAGCCGCGGUAAUACGUAGGGUGCAAGCGUUAUCCGGAAUUAUUGGGCGUAAAGGGCUCGUAGGCGGUUCGUCGCGUCCGGUGUGAAANUNCWUNGCUUAACGGUGGAUCCGCGCCGGGUACGGGCGGGCUUGAGUGCGGUAGGGGAGACUGGAAUUCCCGGUGUAACGGUGGAAUGUGUAGAUAUCGGGAAGAACACC
rnacentral:rRNA from 1 species